rnacentral:rRNA from 1 species
UACGGAGGGCGCAAGCGUUGUUCGGAAUCACUGGGCGUAAAGCGCGUGUAGGCGGCUUGGUAAGUCGGGUGUGAAAGCCCGGGGCCUAACCCCGGAACUGCACUCGAAACUGCCUCGCUAGAGUCUCGGAGAGGGUGGUGGAAUUCCCGGUGUAGAGGUGAAAUUCGUAGAUAUCGGGAGGAACACCAGCGGCGAAGGCGGUCACCUGGACGAUGACUGACGCUGAGACGCGAAAGCGUGGGGAGCAAACAGG